rnacentral:rRNA from 1 species
GACGAACGCUGGCGGCGUGCUUAACACAUGCAAGUCGAACGGAAAGGCCCUGCUUUUGUGGGGUGCUCGAGUGGCGAACGGGUGAGUAACACGUGAGUAACCUGCCCUUGACUUUGGGAUAACUUCAGGAAACUGGGGCUAAUACCGGAUAGGAGCUCCUGCUGCAUGGUGGGGGUUGGAAAGUUUCGGCGGUUGUGGAUGGACUCGCGGCUUAUCAGCUUGUUGGUGGGGUAGUGGCUUACCAAGGCUUUGACGGGUAGCCGGCCUGGGAGGGUGACCGGCCACAUGGGGACUGAGAUAGGGCCCAGACGCCUACGGGAGGCAGAAGUGGGGAAUAUGGCACAAUGGGCGGAAGCCUGAUGCAGCAACGCCGCGUGCGGGAUGACGGCCUUCGGGUUGUAAACCGCUUUCGCCUGUGACGAAGCGUGAGUGACGGUAAUGGGUAAAGAAGCACCGGCUAACUACGUG